rnacentral:rRNA from 1 species
UACGGGGGGGGCAAGCGUUGUUCGGAAUUACUGGGCGUAAAGGGCUCGUAGGUGGCCAACUAAGUCAGACGUGAAAUCCCUCGGCUUAACCGGGGAACUGCGUCUGAUACUGGAUGGCUUGAGAUUGGGAGAGGGACGCGGAAUUCCAGGUGUAGCGGUGAAAUGCGUAGAUAUCGGGAGGAACACCAGUGGCGAAGGCGACUACCUGGCCUGUUCUUGACGCUGAGGCGCGAAAGCUAGGGGAGCAAACGGG